rnacentral:piRNA from 1 species
UGCAUACAUUGUUGUCACACAGAGUCUG